CGUCACAUUCUCCAAAAUGGCUGCGGGUCGCACCCGGCGCUCGUCCCUCCCUGCCGCAACCAACGCCACCGCUUCGGCGCUUACCCAUCAGAUCAGACAGACAAACAAGGCAAACGAGACCCUAGCGCAGCAUGGCUUGGACGGCUGCGGGCACAGUUUGCUGGCGCCUCCUCCGCCUCCCCUCCGUCCGCUGCCCUCUCUCGUCCCGGGCCCGGUGUUCCGCUGCGCAGAGCCUAGACGCCGUGGACAAGGAGUAUGCCGACCUCAACCUCCGGCCUCUGUACCCCAACAGGGGCCAUCACAUGCGCAUACGGUAGCACGUGAACCCGCUCAGCUCAUCCUUCUCGGAGCCCACGGGGCCGCCAGAGUGGAAGGAGGUGUUCGACGACCCCUUGCUUCCCCUCAUGGUCGACAUCGGCUGCGGGAGUGGGAGGUUCUUGAUUUGGCACGCGAAGAAUUCUGGCAAGAGUCAAAACUACCUUGGGCUAGAAAUCCGCCAAAAGUUGGUGGAGCGGGCACAGUUCUGGGUGAAUGAAUUGGAGCUUAUCUAUUUUAUGUUUGCAAAUGCAACGAUGUCUUUUGAGAAAAUCAUAUCGUCAUACCCUGGUCCCCUGUCACUUGUUUCAAUACUGUGUCCUGAUCCACACUUCAAAAAGAGACAUCACAAAAGAAGAGUUCUGCAGCAACCAUUGGUCGAUUCAAUCAUAAAUAAUCUAUGUUUAGGCGGACAGGUUUUCAUACAAUCAGAUGUACUGGAAGUAGCGGUAGACAUGAGGGAAAGGUUUGAUGGGUACUCUGGUAUUUUGGCACAUGUUAAUUAUGUCGAUCAAGAUCUUCAGUGUGACAAUGAAGGAUGGCUUCUGGACAACCCAAUGGGAAUCCGGACAGAGCGAGAAAUCCAUGCAGAGCUUGAAGGAGCAACGAUAUACAGGAGGGUGUACCAAAAGGUUAGAGAUGCUUCUUUCUAGCUGUUUAUCAGCUACAGAAGUUGUCCGAGGAGUAAGGUUUCCAAGAAUGUUCAUUGCAUGUAUUUCAUUAAGAGAAGUUGGGAAAAAACAAAGCAUCCAAGUACAAAGCCUGGCGAACCAAAACGAAGAGAAGCCCAAGCAGUAACACACCUGAUGUCUUCCUGCUUGAACCAUGCCACAAGUUGCCUUUACUACAUCAAGCUGCAUUACAUUUCUGACAGUGCGCUUGUGCACAUCUAAUCUUUUUUUUUCACCUGAUGCAAUGAGUCAGAUUAGCCAAUGCUUUUGAUGAAGAUGACAACUGGCAAAAGUGUUCCUUUGUUGGUCAAAUUGUACUUAUGGUGUUUAGCAUCAGGUGUUGUCUUCGUUCUGUCCAUAAUUCAGGUCUGGAAUUGGUCACCAUCUAUCGGUAUGCAGAGAGUUUGUAGAGGCAAUCCAGAUGAGGCAAUUUGAUGUGCGCUAGGAUUGUUCAAACUUUGGUCCGCUCAACGUUCUCUUGACUUGGUAGAUAUACAAGAAUGGACAACGUUUUCUUGACUUGGUAAAGUUUGGUCAUUAGUUUGUGAAACAGAAUGCUGCAUUGCUCUUGGCAUUUGAUAAGUGACAGGUGGAUAAGACGACACCGAGGUGUGGGCACUUUUUAGUGUUUGAUGUUUGCUAAGUCCUCUACCAUCAGGUCAAUACAUAUGUUAAUCAAUUUGAAUAACUCCUUAAUUGAAAUUUUGUUGCUAAUGGUAUCGAAUUAACUCACCAUUGUAUUCGGCGAAUAAUGUUUCGUUGCAACACAGUCAUAUUGUACUAGUGAUAGCUGAUAUUGUUGGGUUGCCCGUGUAUUUUGUAAUAAG